CACGUAGUUAGCCGGGGCUUCUUAGUCAGGUACCGUCAUUAUCUUCCCCCUGCUGAUAGAGCUUUACAUACCGAAAUACUUCUUCACUCACGCGGCGUCGCUGCAUCAGGGUUUCCCCCAUUGUGCAAUAUUCCCCACUGCUGCCUCCCGUAAGAGUCUGGGCCGUGUCUCAGUCCCAAUGUGGCCGUUCACUCUCUCAAGCCGGCUACUGAUCGUCGCCUUGGUAGGCCGUUACCCCACCAACAAGCUAAUCAGACGCGGGUCCAUCUCACAGCGAUAAAUCUUUGAAAGGAUCGUCAUGCGGCAAUCCCUUGUUAUGCGGUAUUAGCAGCCGUUUCCGGCUGUUGUCCCCCUCUGUGAGGCAGGUUACCCACGCGUUACUCACCCGUCCGCCACUCAGUCAUUGCCAUCUUCCCUCCGAAAAGUUCCGUCGGUAGCGCUUCGUUCGACUUGCAUGUGUUAAGCACGCCGCCAGCGUUCAUCCUGAGCCAGGAUCAAA
rnacentral:rRNA from 1 species